CUGGGCGUCGUGGCGGGCGUCUGUAAGCUAGCAUCUUGGCGGUAGACAGCAUGAAGUUUACGACAUGCUCUCGAUUCUGAAUCAUUCGAUUCCAUACAAUUCAAAUCAAGUCAAAUAAUAAUCUUCUCUACUCGAGUACUCGAAAGGGCAUGGCCGCCCAAAAAAAAA
ensembl:ncRNA F22H10.10 ncRNA